AAAAGAUAAUGAGAAAUGGUAGAAUAAAAGAGAGAAGCAUUACGAAGCGAACUGCAUUAGUUAGUUAAAAAUUGAACGAGAAAGACCAAGAAUAAAUCUUAUAAAAAUUCAUUUUUAAUUAUUAUUUGUGAAUUUUUUACAGUGAUUUUCAUCACCUCUGACAAUGUCGGACACAUCUGAAAACAGUGUAUAUAAGGAUGUCGCCGAAAAUAAUAAAAGUAACAAUGAAAAUGACGAAAAUAAUGAAGAAAAUAAAAUAAAUAAUGAAGAACAUAACAUAGUAGAAAGAGCAAUAAUCAUCGGUAAUGAUAUGUCAGAAUAUGAUAAUUAUGGUAUUGAUCAUAAAGGUAACGAAGUUAAAAAGUACUUAAAAAGAUAAUUAAUAUGAAAAAAUUUUUUACUUAAAUAAAAAAAAAAAUAAAUUUUUAUUUCAAAAAAUAAAAUUUCUUAUAUUUUUUUUUCCCCCACUUCAACAACUCGCGACUCGAUAAAUUUUAUUCCAGAAAAAAAAACAAAAAAAGAAAGACAUUAAAAAUUAAUUUAUCGCGUUUCAUCAUUACAAUAAGAUAUUAACGCUUAUUAUUCUAACAUAAAUCAUACAAAAUACAAAUUAUCGAUGGAUAUCCCAGAAUAUAAACAUCGCUAUUUUAUUUUAUAAACAUGUCAAAUCGAUCGAUUGGAUAAACCAAAAGAAAAAAAAAAAUUCGAGCAAUUCCGCAACAUUUUCCUUUUCUUUUUAAUCUAAGCACGAAUUGACACGGUAUCGUUGUAAAUGAACUCCUUUGAAAUCGAUCAUCUGAAUCGAAGAUUAACGCAUCGUUUCCCGACUCGGUUUUUGCGGCCGGUCAGAAAGCUAAGAAACGAUAAGUGUAGGCGACAGUUGUUGGAAGAAGCAACGAGACUUGGCCACGAGCCAACAUUCCGAUUCUCUCUGGCCGUGCACAGCGCCAUGAAUGUAGCAUCGUUGGUACAUACGCUAGAAUCUAUUACCGAAUCCUUGGCUUGGAGAAUUACCGAUUUACACAGCGGAUUUAUUUGCCCGAAAUUAUUCGAUUAUUAACGCGUCACAUUGUGCGUUACGCGUUCAAGGAGGGACCGAAAUUGAGAAAUUGUUGGAUAAAUUUUGGAAACGAUUCUCGAGAAUAUUUAUAUAUUCGUAUUUUUCGAAACGAUAUAUACAUAUUUCAUAUUACGAUUAUUUCGAUCUGCGAAGGCCAAGCGAUCUUUAUUCACUUGGAAUAAUCGACGCUUAAUUUCACCUGGAAUACAAAAUUGGAUGGAAUAAUUAAUCGAGUAGCGGACGACUUGUCAGCCAUAAAGCGAGAAAGAAUAUAACCGUCUAAAAUCCUUCAGCUUAGUUUUUAAUCCCGUUUCUUUUAGGAUCGUAAAUGGAUUUCUCAGACAAUCUCGAUCCCCCAAUCUGAGCGGAGCAAAGCUGCAUCGAAAAGAAUAGAAAAGAAACAAAAAUUUCCAUCUUUCGUCGACAGAUUCGUUCGUUUAAAAUGAAAACUUUUCACUUUCCAUUCGUCAAAACAUUUUUCAACGUGGAUUAAACUUACACAUCGUGAUUACACGCGUGCAAUUAAACGUACAAUAUCUUACGUUUUGUUAUCUCUAUCGAUACGAUAAAAAUCUGAACUUCCAACAUUCUAUAAAUUAAUUCUAAGGGGGGGAGAGAGAGAAAGAGGGAGAGAUUAAAAAGAAUUUGAUCGUUACAAUUUUUUUUUUUAAUUAUUAAGUCGCGAUAAUCGAACGUAAAUAAAUUAACGAUAUUCCGAUAAUUAAAGAUAUUCCGUAAUGAACAUUGCAACGACAAUAUAUAACAAAACAGUUGAUGAAAUUAACACAUGUGACAUUUGCGCGAUGCAGCCAAAAUUUCGAUAACAAAUUUUCAUUAGGGGGUUCGUAGUAACUUGUAGAAAUUAUUAAAACGGUUUAAUUAGAAAUGCCAACGGAACACUGGGUUUCACGGUGAAUGAAAUUUGGUAAAUUCAACGAAUAUUCUUGUAGAUGCGGACGAGUCGAGGAGAUCCGCAGAGGGGGAACGAAAGAGAGAGAGAGAGAGAGAGAGAGAAUGAUAUGGCGCACGUGGAACGCAACCGCAGCCGACACAACUCGCGUUUCAAUCAAGCCCCCUCAAGCCCGGAAGUCACGCGACGUUGAAAUACCAGCGGCAACCGGCGUUCCAAGCGGCGGUGGAGCGGGUAGACCGAAUUCCCUCUGUCUCUGGUACAACGAUCCUCCUUCAUUUUCCCCGAGACUCUGCUUUCCUCAGCCUCCACCCCCUCCGUAUAUUUAUGGCCGAUCAACCUGCACCUCCGGAUAUGCGGGGAGGAGGAGAGGUGGUUGCUAAAUCGAGGCAUCGAUUUCCGGUUAAAAUAUACUGCGAUCUAGUUAGAAUCUAUUCACCGCGAUUGUAUUCGAUUUUGAAAAAGAGGCGAGGAGAUAUGAGAGUGUAUUUCAGAGAUAGAUAGACUCGUGUACUCCUUUUCUGAUGCAGUUUCUCAUUCUUUUUAAGAUUGAUCUGAUUUGUGGUCGUUGAAAAGGAUGCGUUCCAUUUUGAAAGAGGUGACGAGGAGAGAUUUUGCA